UUACUUAUAAAAUACCUAUUUACAAAUAAUAAAUGCAACCAUUCUAUUAAAAUGACAAUUCAUUAAAAUAACUUCUCCAUCAUUCACAUAAAAAAAAAAAAUUUGAACCCAUAUGUAAAAAAAAAUAUAUCCAUUUGUAUAUACUAUCAACUAUUACUACAAAUUCUUCACCGUUCUCCAUUGUUGAUACACAUAAACCUCACUGAAGCUCUUGCAGUAAUGAGUAACAACUUCUUUGUCAUCGUCAACACACAUUUGCUUUAUAUAUAUUUUCAUGAAAACAUCUGCAAAAUAAAAGUAUUCACCAGUCAAGUCAUUAAUAGGUUCAUCGUACAAAAACUUAUACAUGGAUCAGAAGUAAAUUAACCACGUAGAUAAUGAAAUCUAAAUAAAUCAAAAGUUUAUAUCAUCCUGGCUAGCAUUCACUCACAUCAUGAUUCUGAAAAAUUGUUUGUAUGUCCGUCAAAAUGUUUGCAUGUAUUUUAAAUUAACUGAAAAAUAUGAUGGAAAAAGUUCAUUAGGUGGUUAAAUAUAAUCAUUUGAGCAAUAAAAUAAGAAUGACAAGGGGAAAUAAAAUUCCUAAAGAAGCUAAAGCAUCAUUUAGGCAAAAUAAAAGUAAUAUAUAAACUAGUGUUUGACAGAAACCUACUGAUACAACAAGAGAUAAAGGGACAACCUCGAGCAAAAAAGACCUGCAAUUAAUAAUAUAAUCAGUGUAAUUAAAAAAUUAAGCCACAUACCAUUGUAUGAAAAAGUAUUAUUGGCCAAUAAUCUUUCACACAAAUGCAUACACUUGAGCAGUAUAUAUUCUAGACAAUACCACUACCAAAUUAAACAUCUCAUUAGAAAGAAGAAGAAUAUAUAAUAGAAGAAAUUAAAUGAUCAUUAGCUCGUAGAUGUUACCGGAGAUCUAUUUGCUCCUUGGAUCAUCGCUGAUCAAUACCAGUACCAUAUUAAAUGACCAUAGAAGAAAUUAAGUGAUCAAUACCAGUACUAUAUUAUUGUUUUAUGUGUGUUCCCCAUGUGUAGGUAAUUUUUUCCCCUCUCAGUCCACUGGAGAAAAAAAAAUUCAGCACGAAACCAUAAUAACAAUCAUAACUUAAAAAUGAAAAUAGCCGGCUGAUCCAUCAUGCUUUAGCGAGUUCAGGUUAAGAAAUUAAUGAGUAGACUUACUAAGAAAUUAACAUCAAUUCUAAAGUAAACUGAAGAAAUGUUUUGCUAGAGUAUCAUACAAUCACUUCAUUUUUCCGUCUAUGUAAGAGGCUGGAAAUUAGUAGAAAACUAAAUUUUAAUACCGACUUAAUAGAAACAAAUAUCGUCGAGUAUGAUUAAAAGAAUGGAGUUCUAGAAUAACACAGGGUAAAGGCACAUGAUUUCAACCUAGAUUUAUCUAGAAUAAUUUUGCACCAUAUAUCCUCAGACAAAUAUAAUCCCAACAUUUGUUGAGUAUAAAUGGAAAACAAUAAUUUAUGACAAUCCACAAAAACGAAUCCCCUUUUAAACUGAAAAAUGAGAAAUCUCCUUUUACUUCCAUAGUUUACUCCCCAAACUACAACUACCAGAUCAUAAGUACCAAUUGUAAUGGUGAAAAAAAUUUCCCUUCACCUGUAAUGUUUUUGUUCAGAAAUUGGU
rnacentral:lncRNA from 1 species